rnacentral:lncRNA from 1 species
UUACUGAUGGUCCGUGCUGUGUCCACCAGUGAAUAAACCAGUUUGGGACUGAUUUCUCAAAUACCUUGGAACAUAUUUUAACGAACCAAGUGUGUUUAUGCUUAUAAUUAUUGUAAUAAAAGACUUGAGAAAAAGCUUUGAUGUAGUCCCAAUAAGUAAAGUUGGCAAUAGUUUGCCCUUGAGGUCCCAUAGGGAGAUUUCGAAGGGUCAUGGAAGAAAUUCCCCAUUCUUCGAUAGGGAUCAAUUUUUUUAUAAUUAUUUUGGAGUAGCCGUGAACGCCCGGAGUAGAUUCUCCUAAAGGGCUGUGCUCGAAAGUCGCACUGGCAGUAUUGACAAGAAUUUG